ensembl:lncRNA
GGGGACAAGCCAGGUGCUCAGACGCAACUUUACUUCAAAGCGUCUGGCACAAGCAAUGGGGGGAAAAGGGUACCGUAGGGAGGACGCGGUGCGCAGGCGCGGGGAACCAAGACCUGAGAGUUUGGAGCUGCCCCUCCCCCCUUCCUCAAAAGCCAGGGAAGUUGCCCCACUGCGCCUGCGCGACAAUGUUCGGGGGAGGGGAGAGCGGGCCAGUUCCCUGCGUUGAGAGAACCGCCCCCUCAGGUGAGCGAGCGCGCGAGUGCGCGCACGUACCACUCUCAAACUCCCUCGCGCGGCCUUUUGCGCCCGCCCUAUCGCGCGUGCGCCGGGAAGGAGGCGGCUGCGGCCGAAUUUGCGGCUUUUUUCUGAGUUUCUCUUGAGAAGUUUCUGGAAAGACGAAGCCUAAAGGAAGCUGGGGGAUGGGAAGAGCGGGGAAGCCGCAUUUGAGAGAAGAAAGCGAAAUAUCCAAAGCAGACGGCCAUCGCUCUGCCUCCCAACUCUCAAGCCACGGCCAAGGAGAGCCCGAGACCCUCACAUCCAGGGGAAAAGCAUGAGGACCGCACAGCUGCUGCUUCCUCUGGCCGUGACUAGAACCCUCGCCUCCGGGGCAGGGAAAGGGAAGGGGUGUCCGGGAACACCCGGAGCGGCCCGGGACGUUUGCGCGGUGGAGCGGGCGCCAGUGGCCCGGAGAUCUGGGCCCCGCCUGCAGUGGGCGUGGCUGCCGAGCUGCGGUUUAGGGGCGCCAGACUCCCGUUUUCCGUAGCCUCUCUUUGGUGGCUCUGUGUUUUCCCCUCCACCCGCCUCCACUUCGGUGGCGUGGAGCUAAUGCAGCGAGUGCGGAGAAGCCGCUCUACGUGGCCGCGGUGGGGCGGGGGCGCCGGCGCCUGGCUGCCAUUUUGUGGCUCGGCCGCCAUUUCGCGCCGCGCGGGUGGCGGGGCGCAGGCGCGGCACCUUUGUUCUUGGGACGCUGCCUGGCUGGGCGCGCGCUUCCCCGCGGCCUGGGAACCUGUACCAAAGAUCCCACGCCCUCCUCGCUCGUGGACAACAUAACGGCCCGGCCGCCGUGGGAAAAAGACGCCUUGCCGGGGAGGGUUAACGCAGCGUGGAAAGCCGCUCUCUGGAACCUCGGGCCUGAGGGAGGAGCAAAGCGUGGGCCCUUGUGGCGCUCUGUAAAGAGUAGGGCAGAGCAAGCAGCUGCGGGAGCCCUAAUAAAGGUGUUAAAGCCCUCGUAAUCGGGAGACCCGAUCGCUUUACAAAAGAAAAACACCCGAAGUAGCGCCUGAAGUGCUGCCAGGCGGUGGAGAACAGAGCUCACGUCUCAUUGGCUGGCUCGCUCGCUCUCUCUGCGCAAUUGCGUUCGGACGAGGGUAUGGCCCAUUAUUUACAUCUGAUCAGCAGCAGGAACAAUGGGUCGUGAAGUCUCUCGCUUUUCUUGAGAAUAUUUUCUGUUUAACUGCUUUUUCAAAUCCCUUGGAUUGAACUCAGGUCCUUGUGCUUCCGCAGCAGGUGGUGAAACCACUGAGCUAAAUCCCCGGCCCUCCAAUAUGUUAAUGUAAGUGAUCUCUGACCAUAGCACGAUAUUGGUAAGGAAUCCCAGACAUUUGAUUUGUUGGUUCAUAAGUGAAGUAAGGGAAGGGGAAGCUAUUUUUGUUUUUUAAGACAGGGUUCCUCUGUGUAGUUCAGGAUGGCCUUGAACUAUGUACCCCAGGCUGGCCACAUACUUUGAACCUCCUGCCUCAACCACUGUAGGAUUACAAGUGUACACCACUAUUCUUGGUAUAUUUGGGUUUUUUGUUGGAGGGGGGCUUGGUACCUGGAAUCAAACUCAGGACCUUGGCCUUGUGAGGCAGGCAGUGGAACCACUGAGCUAAAUCCUGGGCCCAUCAAAUAGCUUUUGAAUUGACAGAAUCUCAGGAUCUGCCCGAGGGGUGCAAAGGCCUUUGUAUCAGUCCUAGAUCUCCUUUGAGUUUGUCCCGCCAGGCAGGACUAGUGAAUUCCAAAAUAGCCAGUUCGUUGUUCCUUUAGUUUUUCUUUGUCAUCUAAAACUGAGGUGUCUGGAUUAAUUUGUACCCCUUUUUUUUUUUCUUCCACUACUGGGGAUCAAACUCGGGACCUUGCGCUCGCCAGGCAGGCAAGGUGCCACUGAGCUAAAUCCCCGGCCCUGUAGUCCUUUUUUGAGUUUCCUAAAAUAAUGAGGGUGUUAACCAAAACCUUUGAUUACACCCAGUUCCCUAGGAUUGCCAGUACACGGUGGAAAGGUGUGUGGUUGGCUCCUUUGGCUCAUGCUUUUGGAUUUAUAUUUUGCCAUUUAGUGAAAUUUGUGUGCUUUUCUGAACAACAGAAACACUAAGUUUGUCCAUUGUUCCGGUAAAGGACAGCUUUUCUUGUAAAUUCUGACGUAGGAGAGAAUUUAACACUAAACCUUUGCCUGGUAAAGAUAAAUGCUCUCUUUUAGGGACUUUAGUAGUACAGAAAGGCCCUCAAUAUUUUUGGCAACACCACUCCCACUAGUAUAAUAUAUAUAUAUUUUUUUUUCCCUUUGAGGCAAAACAUUGAGGUACUUUGUGGACUUCAGAAGUCUUAAAGUUCAAAGAAAAAAAUCCUCGCAGCCAACAGCUUUCUUCUUAGAAAAACAAACAUUUAAAAGUGAAAAAUAUUCCUGGGACACCUAACAUUUGUUUUUCUUCCCAGAGUACAAAUGGUCUUUGCUGAAGCAAAAUUCCAUCUUGACAACUGUGCAAAUUAUAUGAAAUAAGUAGAUUUAUUGUUUUGGCAUCAUAGUUUAAAUGGUCUAUUACAUAAUAUAUCACAAAGGCUUCUGCCAGGUAUGGUAGCACAUGCCUGUAAUCCCAGCACACACAAGAGGCUGAGGCAGGAGGAUUGCCAUGAAUUUGAGGCAAGGCUGGGUUACUUAGUUCAAGGCCAGCAUGGACCACAUAGCAGGAGAAACUGUCUCAAAACAAGCAAGAAAGCUAAAUACCGAAUUGUUUCUAUGGUGUGAGAAACAAAAUGUAAAUAAGGAUCAAAAUGUAUAAUUGAUAAUGUGAAAUAGGAAGAAAAGGUCUAAAGGGGUAGGGGAAAGGAAAGAAGGGAAAAGAAAAAAAAAAUGGAAACAAAGUCUUUGUAAAGAGGAAAGGGUUGAAGGGAGGGCAGA